UUCACAAUUCGUAACUAGCUGUCAGAGUUACUUGAAGACAUAAUGUAUUUUUUUUCUUGAGCAAUUACUUGAGACCUGGAUACCAACCUUAUAACCCUGACAGACGAGCAUAAUUAAUUGGCCUUCAGCAACACAAAUGCGAAUUGAAAUUUUAUGGUGACAGACGGCAGAUUUGUGCAUUUAGACAGCUGAUUGUGAAAUUUGUUUCUUUAUUAAAAAAAGUGAAAUAACAACGGAUAAGAGAAGAUUAUUAAUGGCAAUUUGUUAUUCUUAGAAGAUCAAAAAGAAUAUAUCGAAAAAAUCGGUUUAUUACUAAAUGAGUUAAAAGAAAAUAGAGUGAAAGUAAAAGCAAUUCUUGAAUCUAACGCAAGCUUAAGAUUACAAUCGCUCAGCCACACAUAUGAAAUGUUUGGAAAGUCUACCGAAGUGGUAAAUUUUGGGAGCACGAUAUCCCUGCUAUAGACCAAGCAAGGUUCAAGGAAAACUUUCUCGUAGAUAGAAGCGCUUUCAAAAAAUUAUGCGAAAAAGUAUGUUAAUAUUAUAAUUAGAGCAUGUUGAAUUUUGCACAAUUUUCUAAAGAUUGAGAACGAUGAAGUUUCCUCAGCUUGGAUUCAAGACGCAGCAGAAGAUGCAACAAGGCAUCAACUCAAUCAUACAACAACAUUAGGAGAAAAUGAUUCAACAGUGACAGCAAUUAGGAAUGCCAUCGCAAUGAGUUUCUAAAACGAUGCACCCGCUGAUGAGGUCGAGCUACCUAAUGGCGACAUUAAGAGUUCGUCAACGUAAUUACUGGCGUACACACCGGUUCAGGCGACAUUGGUUCUGGCUCUGGCGAUAUUGGUUCUGGUGAUCCUAUAGCCAUAGAUGACUGGAACGAAAGUAAUGUUGAAUUCGAUAUGUUUUAAGAAAAAAUUAUUGUAAUAAUAAACGUGUAAAACUCAGCUUACCACAGUAAA